UGAAGACACUGUAGACUUAGUAUGCAACUGCUAAUGUUUUGUAAGCAAUAAACCAUUUUCUAAAGUUCUACCUACUACAGAAGCUCAUAGUUUCUCAGAAAAAAAAUCUUUCCUUUCUGUUUUAUUGGUACCUGCCUUACAUGGACAAUACGGUGCAGCUGCGAUUAAGAGAAGAUAGAAAGAGAAGACCAAAGCAACAGGCAUUGAGGAAGGAAUACAAAAAGACCUACAGAAGGAAUUGGAAGAGACAGCCUGUGCCUAUCCCAGACCACAGGGUGAUGGUGGUGGUGGAGUGAGUGAGCAGCUGGAUGGGAGUUUGGUUGUCAGCCAAGGCUAACCCAUCACAUAUGUACAUCUGCAAGAUGCAUAUAAAGAUGAAAAAACAUAAUGGCCCCCCGGGCUGUAGGAGAACAUAAAAUCCUAAGGGAGAAUGAACUUAUCUCAACUCAGUUUGCUCAUGGCUUUAGCUGGUUUUUGAUCAUCAGUCCUUCUUUUCUGUAUCAGUAAGUGAAUUGAGCUGACAAGUACUGGGAUUUCACUAUUUAAUUCAUUGUUCUUUUUAGCUAUACUUUUUCUUUACCACAUCUGUCCUGCAGGUUGUUUGGUUGGGUUUUUUAAAAAAGGUUGGAAGUUUCUACUCACAUUUGCAACUCUUUCACUGCAGCACAACUUCCCACAAAGCAUCCCUUUGCACAAUCCAGGAAGUCUAGCAAAUUCUUUUUAGAUUCAAGGAAUACUAAUUUGAAUGCAUGCCUUUGUUUUAGUCUCCUAAACUUUUUUUGAGGAGAGCACCUGCACAUGAUUGCUUCUGCAGACCAAUAUAUUCAUAAUAAAACUGUCAACUUUUUACAUUUCUGAACACUUUAAGACAGUGCAAAGCAAUCCACUCAGUUCACUCAGUUCAUCAGUCAAAGUCUGAUGUAUGCAUGUCUAGAUGGUGUUGUGUUCUAGAACGAAGCACAGUUGAGGGUCACAUUGGACCAGCAUGUGCAGCAGGCCAAAUCUCACUCACAGCUAGCUGCUUUGUGACACCUAGACUGCUACAGAUUGUGAAUUUGUGUACUAGCAAUAGUGUCAGACCUCGGACUAAUCUUCAGAAAUCUAAAUGGAUUUGAGAGAUUAAUAUGAAGAAAACGUUUUUAGCAUAAGCUCUAAGUUCUGCUGUUAUACAUUCCAUACUCAAA